rnacentral:rRNA from 1 species
AGUGAACGCUGGCGGUAGGCCUAACACAUGCAAGUCGAACGGCAGCACAGUAAGAGCUUGCUCUUACGGGUGGCGAGUGGCGGACGGGUGAGGUAUACAUCGUAAUCUACUUUUUCGUGGGGGAUAACGUAGGGAAACUUACGCUAAUACCGCAUACGACCUACGGGUGAAAGCAGGGGAUCUUCGGACCUUGCGCGAUUGAAUGAGCCGAUGUGGGAUUAGCUAGUUGGCGGGGUAAAGGCCCACCAAUGCGACGAUCCGUAGCUGGUCUGUGAGGAUGAUCAGCCACCCUGGAACUGGGACACGGUCCUGGCUCCUAAGGGAGGCAGCAGUGGGGAACAUUGGACAAUGGGCGCAAGUCUGAUCCAGCCAUACCGCGUCGGUGAAGAAGGCCUUCGGGUUGUAAAGCCCUUUUGUUGGGAAAGAAAAGCAGCAGGUUAAUACGCCGCUGUUGUGACGGUACCCGAAGAAUAAGCACCGGCUAACUUCGUG